ensembl:snRNA
AUAUUGUAUGAAAGGGGAGAAGGUUAGUAUUCCCCUUGACAAGGAUGGAAGAGGCCCUUGGGCCUUACAACGUGCAUACAGUUAAGGCAUUGACACCUACUUAUCUAACCACUGUUUUUU